GUGCUUGCUCUGAAAGCACAUAUACUAAAAUUGGAAUAAUACAGAGAAGACUAGCAUGGCCCCUACACAAGGAUGGCAUGCAAAUAAAAAAGAAAAGGAUAAAAGGA